rnacentral:rRNA from 1 species
GAUGAACGCUGGCGGCGUGCCUAAUACAUGCAAGUAGAACGCUGAAGGAGGAGCUUGCUCUUCUGGAUGAGUUGCGAACGGGUGAGUAACGCGUAGGUAACCUGCCUGGUAGUGGGGGAUAACUAUUGGAAACGAUAGCUAAUACCGCAUGACAACAGUUAUUGCAUGAUAACUGUUUAAAAGGGGCAACUGCUCCACUACCAGAUGGACCUGCGUUGUAUUAGCUAGUUGGUGAGGUAACGGCUCACCAAGGCGACGAUACAUAGCCGACCUGAGAGGGGGAUCGGCCACACUGGGACUGAGACACGGCCCAGACUCCUACGGGAGGCAGCAGUAGGGAAUCUUCGGCAAUGGACGGAAGUCUGACCGAGCAACGCCGCGUGAGUGAAGAAGGUUUUCGGAUCGUAAAGCUCUGUUGUAAGAGAAGAACGAGUGUGAGAGUGGAAAGUUCACACUGUGACGGUAUCUUACCAGAAAGGGACGGCUAACUACGUG